UACGAAGGGGGCUAGCGUUGUUCGGAAUUACUGGGCGUAAAUCGCGCGCAGGCGGCUAUCCAAGUCAGUGGUGAAAGCCCGGAGCUCAACUCCGGAACUGCCAUUGAAACUGUUUAGCUUGAGGACGAGAGAGGUGAGUGGAACUGCGAGUGUAGAGGUGAAAUUCGUAGAUAUUCGCAAGAACACCAGUGGCGAAGGCGGCUCACUGGCCCGAUACUGACGCUGAGGCACGAAAGCGUGGGGAGCAAACAGG
rnacentral:rRNA from 1 species